rnacentral:misc_RNA from 1 species
AAAAAAUGAGGUAUUUUAUACCUCUUGUAUUUAAAACCCAACUCUAAAAUAUAAUUUUUUUUUAAAAAAAAAAAAA